UUUCUCUAGAAAGUGAAAUGGAAAAUUAACUUUUACUAAUGGUUACUAAAAAUAACUUAAAAUGGCACUUUUUUUUCAACUCGGACCAGACAGAAUGGCUCCCGCAAAGAAGGGUGGCGAGAAGAAAAAGGGCCGUUCUGCCAUCAACGAGGUGGUGAUCCGAGAUUGCACCAUCAAAAUUCACAAGGACC